UAACACAUGCAAGUCGAGCGAGAAAGCACUUCGGUGUGAGUACAGCGGCGGACGGGUGAGUAACGCGUAAGAAUCUACCUGGUAGUGGGGGACAACUCGGGGAAACUCGAGCUAAUACCGCAUACGCCCUACGGGGGAAAGGCCGGGAUCUUCGGACCGGUCGCUAUUGGAUGAGCCUGCGUAAGAUUAGCUAGUUGGUGGGGUAAAGGCCUACCAAGGCGACGAUCUUUAGCUGGUCUGAGAGGAUGAUCAGUCACACUGGAACUGAGACACGGUCCAGACACCUACGGGUGGCAGCAGUCGAGAAUCAUUCACAAUGGGGGAAACCCUGAUGGUGCGACGCCGCGUGGGGGAUGAAUGGCUUCGGUCAGUAAACCCCUGUCAUUAGUGAACAAACCUUUUAGAGUAAUAUUUUAAAAGCUGAUAGUAGCUAAAGAGGAAGGGACGGCUAACUCUGUGCCAGCAGCCGCGGUAAUACAGAGGUCCCAAGCGUUGUUCGGAUUCACUGGGCGUAAAGAGUGCGUAGGUGGCUAGGUAAGUUUGAUGUGAAAGCUCCGAGCUCAACUCGGAAAUUGCAUUGAAAACUGCUUGGCUAGAGGGUCGGAAGGGAGACUGGAAUUUUCGGUGUAGCAGUGAAAUGCGUAGAUAUCGAGAGGAACACCAGUGGCGAAGGCGAGUCUCUGGACGAAUCCUGACACUGAGGCACGAAAGCUAGGGUAGCAAACAGGAUUAGAUACCCUGGUAGUCC
rnacentral:rRNA from 1 species